GGGGAAUUUUGGACAAUGGGCGCAAGCCUGAUCCAGCCAUGCCGCGUGGGCGAAGAAGGCCUUCGGGUUGUAAAGCCCUUUCGGCCGGGAAGAAAUCGUGCGGGCGAACAGUCUGCAUGGAUGACGGUACCGGAAGAAGAAGCACCGGCUAACUACGUGCCAGCAGCCGCGGUAAUACGUAGGGUGCGAGCGUUAAUCGGAAUUAUUGGGCGUAAAGCGUGCGCAGGCGGCGCCAUAAGACAGCUGUGAAAUCCCCGGGCUUAACCUGGGAACUGCGGUUGUGACUGUGGUGCUAGAGUACGGCAGAGGGAGGUGGAAUUCCUGGUGUAGCAGUGAAAUGCGUAGAGAUCAGGAGGAACACCGAUGGCGAAGGCAGCCUCCUGGGCUGAUACUGACGCUCAUGCACGAAAGCGUGGGGAGCAAAC
rnacentral:rRNA from 1 species